rnacentral:lncRNA from 1 species
GACACUUUGGAGGCCUGCCGGAAGUGCCAGGCAUGCGCCCAGGCAUACCCCAGACGGAGACAGCUGCCCACUGUAACACAGCGAGUGACGUGCUCCUGAAGACAGGGGAACAGAAAUCCUGGUGUCAGCCAUGGAACCUCCAAGCCCUUAGGGGAGGGCCUGCGGUAUGACUUACAUGUUACUCCUUGGGUAUUUAAUGUGUAUGUAGCCUCUACGAUUGACCGUCAUAGGGGAACAGCCAGGGAAGGGACCCUCCUUGGGGGGAUAUAUGUACUGUCUGUGUGGCCUGUUGUGAGCUCUCCUGUGACUUUGGCACAAGUACAAGACCCAAAAGAACCACGGGGAGCCGAGAAGGUGUGGUUUCAUCACCCAGGGCAGAAGCCCUUGGUGGCUGCAUCGUUAUCCAGAGAUGAAAAGUUAGCCUGUAUGUUGCCUGAGGGACGUGACUUGCCCUGUUAGUUCCUGUGCCUGUUUUGUCAUUCCAGUGGUAGAUUGGCGGCUCCAACAGCAUCGUAGACUGGGCCCACACCUACGCCGAGGUGACCAAUGUCUCCAACUGUUGGAUCUGCACCGCCCUUCCAGCAGCAGCUGCAGACAGCUGGCCCUGGCAUGUGCAUCCAGCUUCUGUGAAGAACCGGACAUAGCUAGAGACUUGAGGUCCCACAGACAAUGCGUGGGAUGCAACACAGUGGGCUUUGGAUGGGGGCAUGGCAAACCCCAUGGCGAGCCUGCCCCCUGGCUGACUCGCAGUGUCCAUGAUGAAUGGGGCUGGUUAAUGGGAAACACAUAGUGCCCCCAUUGCAGGUACCAUGAUGUAUAGAGAAGCACUGGGGUAAUGUCACUGUAGGAUGGUUGCCUGCUGAGGUUUGUGCAAAUAAAACAUGUGUCACCACACCAAGGGUGUGGAGGAACAAGCGACCUUACCAAGGCCGGGCCCCCAUGGACUUUGUGCCCCCUGGGAAUUUAUGGGUCUGUGGGGACACAGGAUGGCCAAAUCUGCCAGCCAAUUGGACUGGACGUUGUACCUGGGGGUGGCCUUAUGUGCCUGCCAUCAUGCUUCCCACAUUGCCUAGUUGCCCACAUAAUUGGGAGGCACUGCAUUCCCACUUUUUCUGAGUGCAGGGCACCCCCUGGUGGUUUUAUCCCUUAGCAAUACGUAUCCCUGGAGCAGGUGUCAUUACUUUGGAAAAGCAGGUUACAGCCUUUGCAGAGCACACAGCUGGGGCCCUAAAUUACACCCAAGUUGCUCUCCUUUUGUUAACUAAUGAAGUUGACCAGGUCAGGAAGGUGGUGCUGCAAAACACGAUGGCCUUAGACAUAGCCUUAGACAUGCAAGGACAUAGGUGGCCCCUGUGCCUUGUAGGGACACAAUGUUGUACAUUUAUCCCUGAAAACCACUGGAAUGUAACGGCAGCUUUGCAAGGGGUGUCAUAGGAGAUUAAGGCAAUUGAGCACCUUACUGAUGACCCCCUACAGAGAUGGUGGGCGUCUUUUGGGCUCUGGCCUAUGUUGGGCUCUCAUAAUCAUAAGUAGCAUAGCAGGAUAUUCCUGGUAGGUUGUUGCUCUCUGUGUGGUUGCUGUGGCCUAUGGGUCCAGGGUACUGCCAUAUGUGCACAGGUCCCCACCAAGAGGAUCCCCUUGGCCUAGAGGAUGGAGUGUAAGGAACAUGGCUGUGCUGUAGCCAAGCAGGCAUAGGGCAGCAGGCAUAGGCCAAGGUAAACAGCCUAAAUGACUCAGAGGGAUUGGGGUGCACGCGCACACUCCCAUGUCUCAUACAAUCAUAGCCAUGUAGACACAACAUAGAGAAGCUCCCCACCUGGCUCUCAGUCACUAAUGUCUGUGUAGGUAUAAAUGUAACACUGACCCUGUGAGGGGCUGCUGAAUAAAGCCAUGUCUCAUCUACC